CAUCAUCUGAGGUGGACAGGAAGCCCAGCCAAGCCACUGGGGCCGACCCCUCCCCUGGACUCACCUGCAUCUGAGCCACACACCCUCCAGCCACUACCCAUAGCAGUUCUGGGGGUGUGUCCUGGGAAGACUCCCUUCUGCUCCCCAAAACCCCAAGGCCUGGCUCGGGGCCACUGGAGCCGCAGGCGGGACAUAUGUGUGACCGGCCCUCUGCCCCUGGCAGCCCCGCGCUGUGUACUGUAAGGACGUGCUGGACAUCGAGCAGUUCUCCACUGUGAAGGGCGUCAAUCUGGACCACACAGACGACGACUUCUACUCCAAGUUCUCCACGGGCUCUGUGUCCAUCCCAUGGCAAAACGAGAUGAUAGAAACAGAAUGCUUUAAGGAGCUGAACGUGUUUGGACCUAAUGGUACCCUCCCGCCAGAUCUGAACAGAAACCACCCUCCGGAACCGCC
rnacentral:lncRNA from 1 species